GGGGAAUAUUGCACAAUGGGGGAAACCCUGAUGCAGCGACGCCGCGUGAGUGAAGAAGUACUUCGGUAUGUAAAGCUCUAUCAGCAGGGAAGAAAAUGACGGUACCUGACUAAGAAGCCCCGGCUAACUACGUGCCAGCAGCCGCGGUAAUACGUAGGGGGCAAGCGUUAUCCGGAUUUACUGGGUGUGAAGGGAGCGUAGGUGGUAUGGUAAGUCAGAUGUGAAAACCCGGGGCUCAACCCCGGGACUGCAUUUGAAACUAUCAGACUAGAGUGCAGGAGAGGUAAGUGGAAUUCCUAGUGUAGCGGUGAAAUGCGUAGAUAUUAGGAGGAACACCAGUGGCGAAGGCGGCUUACUGGACUGUAACUGACACUGAGGCUCGAAAGCGUGGGGAGCAAAC
rnacentral:rRNA from 1 species